rnacentral:rRNA from 1 species
GACGAACGCUGGCGGCGUGCUUAACACAUGCAAGUCGAACGGAAAGGCCCUGCUUUUGUGGGGUGCUCGAGUGGCGAACGGGUGAGUAACACGUGAGUAACCUGCCCUUGACUUUGGGAUAACUUCAGGAAACUGGGGCUAAUACCGGGUAGGAGCUCCUGCUGCAUGGUGGGGGUUGGAAAGUUUCGGCGGUUGGGGAUGGACUCGCGGCUUAUCAGCUUGUUGGUGGGGUAGUGGCUUACCAAGGCUUUGACGGGUAGCCGGCCUGAGAGGGUGACCGGCCACAUUGGGACUGAGAUACGGCCCAGACUCCUACGGGAGGCAGCAGUGGGGAAUAUUGCACAAUGGGCGGAAGCCUGAUGCAGCAACGCCGCAUGCGGGAUGACGGCCUUCGGGUUGUAAACCGCUUUCGCCUGUGACGAAGCGUGAGUGACGGUAAUGGGUAAAGAAGCACCGGCUAACUACGUG